AAGGAUCAUUACCACGCGAUCCAAAUCCACAUCCCUUUGUGCAUGGCGGCGACAACCAGCGGCGCAAGCCCUUGGUUGCGACGCUAUGUGUGAACUCACGUGUUGUCCUUAACGCCUCACAGCGUGCGGGGCGCCCGUAACCCUUUCACACCACAAAACCCAAUCGUAAACGCUGAGAUUAAACCUAAGCGCUGAAAGCUGACGAGCGUACGCUUGCCCAGCCUUCGCGUGAUAUUCACAAACGCUAUACAACUUUUAGCAAUGGAUAUCUAGGCUCUU
rnacentral:misc_RNA from 1 species